UACGUAGGGGGCUAGCGUUGUUCGGAUUUACUGGGCGUAAAGCGCACGUAGGCGGAUCGUUAAGUCGGGGGUGAAAUCCUGGAGCUCAACUCCAGAACUGCCUUCGAUACUGGCGAUCUUGAGUCCGGAAGAGGUGAGUGGAACUCCUAGUGUAGAGGUGGAAUUCGUAGAUAUUAGGAAGAACACCAGUGGCGAAGGCGGCUCGCUGGUACGGUACUGACGCUGAGAUGCGAAAGCGUGGGGAGCAAACAGG
rnacentral:rRNA from 1 species